rnacentral:ribozyme from 1 species
AAUGAAUGAUAUGUCUCAUGCAAUAUGAAACGAAUAAAGGAACAGAGCUGGGACUGGUUUGAGUCUUUUCAUGUUUUUUUUUUUUUUUUUUUUUUUUUCUUUUCAUUCUUUAUCCC